UCAGGAUGAACGCUGGCGGCGUGCCUAACACAUGCAAGUCGAGCGAGAAACUCAUGACCAAUACUCGGUAGCGUGAUGAGCGGAAAGCGGCGGACGGGUGAGUAACGCGUAGGCAACCUGCCCCUUGCAGAGGGAUAGCCUCGGGAAACCGGGAUUAAAACCUCAUAAUGCGUAACGGAGACAUCUCCGAUACGCCAAAGAUUUAUCGGCAAGGGAUGGGCCUGCGUCUGAUUAGUUAGUUGGUGGGGUAACGGCCUACCAAGGCAGCGAUCAGUAGCCGACCUGAGAGGGUGAUCGGCCACAUUGGAACUGAGACACGGUCCAAACUCCUACGGGAGGCAGCAGUGGGGAAUAUUGCACAAUGGGCGAAAGACCCUGAUGCAGCAACGCCGCGUGAAGGAUGAAGGCCCUUGGGUCGUAAACUUCUGUUCUAAGGGAAGAUAAUGACGGUACCUUAGGAGCAAGUCCCGGCUAACUACGUGCCAGCCGCGGC
rnacentral:rRNA from 1 species